AUAAUGUUGAUAGUGAUGCUGGUGAUCCAAACUUUGGGGAGGUGGAGGUUGAGAAUGACAAGGAAGAGGACCAUUAUGGGGACUUGGUCUCUGACAGAGAAGAAGAAGAAACCAACAAGAAUGAUGGGCUUGAACUUAUAGUAUCAGAAAGCAACAAGACUGAUGGGCCUAAUUGUUCAAAGCCUCAUGAUAACACACAGUUUGAAGAAGAGCAUGCACAACAUUUUAAGGAUGAGGAAG